rnacentral:rRNA from 1 species
GAUGAACGCUGGCGGCGUGCCUAAUACAUGCAAGUCGAGCGAACGGACGAGAAGCUUGCUUCUCUGAUGUUAGCGGCGGACGGGUGAGUAACACGUGGAUAACCUACCUAUAAGACUGGGAUAACUUCGGGAAACCGGAGCUAAUACCGGAUAAUAUUUUGAACCGCAUGGUUCAAAAGUGAAAGACGGUCUUGCUGUCACUUAUAGAUGGAUCCGCGCUGCAUUAGCUAGUUGGUAAGGUAACGGCUUACCAAGGCAACGAUGCAUAGCCGACCUGAGAGGGUGAUCGGCCACACUGGAACUGAGACACGGUCCAGACUCCUACGGGAGGCAGCAGUAGGGAAUCUUCCGCAAUGGGCGAAAGCCUGACGGAGCAACGCCGCGUGAGUGAUGAAGGUCUUCGGAUCGUAAAACUCUGUUAUUAGGGAAGAACAUAUGUGUAAGUAACUGUGCACAUCUUGACGGUACCUAAUCAGAAAGCCACGGCUAACUACGUGCCAGCAGCCGCGGUAAUACGUAGGUGGCAAGCGUUAUCCGGAAUUAUUGGGCGUAAAGCGCGCGUAGGCGGUUUUUUAAGUCUGAUGUGAAAGCCCACGGCUCAACCGUGGAGGGUCAUUGGAAACUGGAAAACUUGAGUGCAGUAGAGGAAAGUGGAAUUCCAUGUGUAGCGGUGAAAUGCGCAGAGAUAUGGAGGAACACCAGUGGCGAAGGCGACUUUCUGGUCUGUAACUGACGCUGAUGUGCGAAAGCGUGGGGAUCAAACAGGAUUAGAUACCCUGGUAGUCCACGCCGUAAACGAUGAGUGCUAAGUGUUAGGGGGUUUCCGCCCCUUAGUGCUGCAGCUAACGCAUUAAGCACUCCGCCUGGGGAGUACGACCGCAAGGUUGAAACUCAAAGGAAUUGACGGGGACCCGCACAAGCGGUGGAGCAUGUGGUUUAAUUCGAAGCAACGCGAAGAACCUUACCAAAUCUUGACAUCCUUUGACAACUCUAGAGAUAGAGCUUUCCCCUUCGGGGGACAAAGUGACAGGUGGUGCAUGGUUGUCGUCAGCUCGUGUCGUGAGAUGUUGGGUUAAGUCCCGCAACGAGCGCAACCCUUAAGCUUAGUUGCCAUCAUUAAGUUGGGCACUCUAAGUUGACUGCCGGUGACAAACCGGAGGAAGGUGGGGAUGACGUCAAAUCAUCAUGCCCCUUAUGAUUUGGGCUACACACGUGCUACAAUGGACAAUACAAAGGGCAGCGAAACCGCGAGGUCAAGCAAAUCCCAUAAAGUUGUUCUCAGUUCGGAUUGUAGUCUGCAACUCGACUACAUGAAGCUGGAAUCGCUAGUAAUCGUAGAUCAGCAUGCUACGGUGAAUACGUUCCCGGGUCU